CCCCUAGUAGCUCAGAGGAAGAGCGCCGGACUUCUAAUCCGCUGGUCGCAGGUUCGAAUCCUGUCUGGGGGACGA
rnacentral:tRNA from 1 species